rnacentral:rRNA from 1 species
AUGCGGUAUGACGGUACCCUUUCGAAUAAGAGGUUGCUAACUCUGUGCCAGCAGCAGCGGUAAUACAGAGACCUCGAGCGUUAUCCGGAUUUACUGGGCGUAAAGCGUCUGUAGGGGGUUUGUUAAGUUCCAAGUAAAAUCUUAAGGCUCAACUUUAAGUUCGCUUGGAAAACUAAUAAACUGGAGUCCAGCAGAGGUGCAUGGAACUUGCGGUGUAGGAGUGAAAUCCGUUGAUAUCGCAAGGAACACCAAAGGCGAAGGCAUUGCACUGGGCUGGUACUGACCCUGAGAGACGAAAGCGUGGGGAGCAAAACGGAUUAGAUACCCGUGUAGUCCACGCCGUAAACGAUGGAUACUAGAUGUUCGGGGAUUCGACCCCCUGGGUGUCACAGCUAACGCGUUAAGUAUCCCGCCUGGGAAGUACGGCCGCAAGGCUAAAACUCAAAGGAAUAGACGGGGAUCCGCACAAGCGGUGGAGCGUCUGGUUUAAUUUGAUAGUAAGCAAUGGACCUCACCAAGGUUUGACAUCCUAUGACAACCCUGGAAACAGGGCUUCCUUCGGGCAUAGUGACAGGUGCUGCAUGGUCGUCGUCAGUUCGUGCCGUGAGGUGUUCCGUUAAGUCGGGAAACGAACGAAACCCUCGUCGCAUGUUACAAAUUUCAUGCGAGACUGCCCGGGUCAACCGGGAGGAAGGCGGGGAUGACGUCAGAUCAGCAUGGCCCUUAUACCUUGGGCUACACAGGCGCUACAAUGGCCGGUACAAAGGGUUGCAAAACCGCGAGGUGAAGCUAAUCCCAUAAAGCCGGUCCAAGUUCGGAUUGGAGGCUGCAACUCGCCUCCAUGAAGUUGGAAUCGCUAGUAAUCGUGGAUCAGCCAUACCACGGUGAAUACGUUCCCGGAUCUUGUACUCACCGCCCG